rnacentral:rRNA from 1 species
GUUUGAUCCUGGCUCAGAUUGAACGCUGGCGGCAUGCCUUACACAUGCAAGUCGAACGGCAGCAUGAUCUAGCUUGCUAGAUUGAUGGCGAGUGGCGAACGGGUGAGUAAUACAUCGGAACGUGCCCUGUAGUGGGGGAUAACUAGUCGAAAGAUUAGCUAAUACCGCAUACGACCUGAGGGUGAAAGUGGGGGACCGCAAGGCCUCAUGCUAUAGGAGCGGCCGAUGUCUGAUUAGCUAGUUGGUGGGGUAAAGGCCCACCAAGGCGACGAUCAGUAGCUGGUCUGAGAGGACGAUCAGCCACACUGGGACUGAGACACGGCCCAGACUCCUACGGGAGGCAGCAUUGGGGAAUUUUGGACAAUGGGCGAAAGCCUGAUCCAGCAAUGCCGCGUGUGUGAAGAAGGCCUUCGGGUUGUAAAGCACUUUUGUCCGGAAAGAAAUGGCUCUGGUUAAUACCUGGGGUCGAUGACGGUACCGGAAGAGUAAGGACCGGCUAACUACGUGCCAGCAGCCGCGGUAAUACGUAGGGUCCAAGCGUUNAUCGGAAUUACUGGGCGUAAAGCGUGCGCAGGCGGUUGUGCAAGACCGAUGUGAANUCCCCGAGCUUAACUUGGGAAUUGCAUUGGUGACUGCACGGCUAGAGUGUGUCAGAGGGGGGUANAAUUCCACGUGUAGCAGUGAAAUGCGUANAGAUGUGGAGGAAUACCGAUGGCGAAGGCAGCCCCCUGGNAUAACACUGACGCUCAUGCACGAAAGCGUGGGGAGCAAACAGGAUUA